AUUGAACGCUGGCGGCAGGCCUAACACAUGCAAGUCGAACGAGUGGCGGACGGGUGUGUAAUGUCUGGGAAACUGCCUGAUGGAGGGGGAUCAAUAGUGGAAACGGUAUCUAAUCCCGCAUACUAUCGGAUGUGCAGAGAUGGGAUUAGCUAGUAGGUGGGGUAAAGGCUCACCUAGGCGACGAUCCCUAGCUGGUCUGAGAGGAUGACCAGCCACACUGGAACUGAGACACGGUCCAGACUCCUACGGGAGGCAGCAGUGGGGAAUAUUGCACAAUGGGCGCAAGCCUGAUGCAGCCAUGCCGCGUGUGUGAAGAAGGCCUUCGGGUUGUAAAGUACUUUCAGCGGGGAGGCGUUACCCGCAGAAGAAGCACCGGCUAACUCCGUGCCAGCAGCCGCGGUAAUUC
rnacentral:rRNA from 1 species